rnacentral:lncRNA from 1 species
CAGUAAAACGUGCAAUGUUGUUCACUUGUUUGAUAAUCUUGAUAGUCUCUUAUGUAACUCAUAUAUCAUUCUCCUGCUUGCAUAUUGUAGGAAGUUGUUAGCUGGUAAUUUGUAAUCAUACAUGAGAUAAGAACUAUAUGUAAGCUAGCAUUUUGUUGUGAAAACAUAAUUUAGCACAAAGGCGGACCAAAUUAUAAGUAUAAAUUAGCUAGUAUGGCUGUAUGAUUUUCUAGCUAAAAGAUCAACUCAAUGUUCUGAGCCUUGCAAUAUAAUUAUUGCACAUGUAAUGAACAAACAUUCACCCGGUGAACAUACACAUCUCUAGAUUCCUGUCAAAUAAAAAAAACAUAUCUCCAGACUCCACAUAUAUAGCAUGUGCAUUUUUUGAAAUCCCAUAUGUCAUCAGCUCCAAUUGUUUUUGUUAUUUAGUUACCUACAAACAAAGUACUUCCAGAAAAGAUAAACCGUUAAUAAUAUUGAUUGAUACCAUCUGAGAACAAAAAGAGACCAUAAAUAAGGCUGAUAGCAUCAAGAACACAUAAUAACCCAUAAGGUACAUAUUGAACUUGAUGAUUUCUCAAGCAGCACUGCUCGUGAUAACAAUUGAGAAGAGUACGCAUCUAGUACAGACAUCGCACCUCUUGAUCUAUCUCUACUCUCUAGUGUACCUAUUACACAUAUAUAGCAUUCUAAAAAAGUAAAUAUUAUCUAAAUGCCCAAAAUGUAGAUAAAAAAGAAAAUAUGGACUAUUCAUAUCAACAAUUUUAGCCAUUUACAUCUGGUAUUGAUACUACCGUUUAUAUUCAGGGCAUGUCUCAACAUAGUGCCAUUUAGCUUGUUAUACACAGAGCCUGAACUGACCUAAUGAAGACAUUGUAAAGAUGUGUAUUUGUGGUCUAGUAAAGUUCUAGCCAAUAUCAAAAUCUUCAACUGAAGUAUAGAAUUUCUUGUUGCUAGAUAUGCAACAUUCCUUGUGAUUGUCAGUAAGUUCCAUAGCCAUUGAUUGACAUGGUAGUAUUGGUUAUUGUGCAAGAAAGAUCAGGUAAAGAUGUAGCCUUUUACCAUAAAGAAAUAACUACCAGAUAACAGCAAAUUAACAAAUAAAAUAUUAUCUGAUGAAAAGGGAGGGAAGUUGAGGAGACUCAAGAGAUGUAGCAUCUGCCCGUAGCAUACUAUCGUGGACAUGUGGUGAGCAUUCAGAAGACCAAGAUUAUUACCUCUUCAAGUAAACAACAAAGAACUUCCAUACGAUCCAAAUAGAAACACAACAAUUGGCAAGUGGCUGUUGAAAGAAGAUAUAUCAUCGAUAUGGAACUUACAAUAAGUAGGAAACCAAGAACAAAUAAGAGAUAUCAUGGGCUUCAUAUAUAUCAGCUACAUAUACAUGUAAUAUGUGAAACAUCUUAUCGGAACUCAGAGGGAGGAUCGACGGUUUAAGUAGUGGUGCAUAUCAAACGGUGUUAGCUGACUGAUUCGCAGGAGGGGCAAGAUAGUGGAUGUGUAGGAAAUGGCAACAACAGGCCAGAUUGAUUAGAGCCAGCAUGAAAGAAUGAACACAACAAAUAAUUAGGACUGGGCAAGGGGGAAGAAAUGGCUGUUGAAAUGAACUCUCUGAGUUUUGGAACACAGGUAGCUGAGAAAAAAAAAUAACUUCACAUAGUCAAGCUUUUUUCAUUCUACCAUGGCACUUUAUAGUAAAAAUCUGGAGACAUCUGUAUAGACACUUAAGCCUCCUUUAAUUUGCAUUCAGCGAAACAUUAUCAAUGGAUCGUAGUUCCUACACUAAAAACUACCUCAUUCGAUAAUAUCCUAUUAUCCCCAACUGGCUGUCAAUAACUGAAAGCCUACUUGGCUGUUGUAAUAAAAUAUAUGAGUUUUGGAACACAGUAGUUGCUCCAAUGGUACAUAGGCUUCAAUUUGAAUUAUCACAUUUUAGUUAUAUGACUAUGUAUGUAGCAUGUUAAGCAUAUUUCUGUUAUCAAUAACUAUUUCAAUUGUAGAAAAAAAACUAUAACAGAAGUAUAUGGUUUUUAGUGCCUGAAUUCGCACACCUAAGGAGAGAUACCCUACUUCCCCAAAAUGCAUUAGUGCUCCUAAAGAGAGAACCUAGCUAUAGUGCCUCUAGCUAAGAGGACAAACCAAAUUAAGGGACAAAAAUAGCAUGCCAAAGGUCCAAUGGCCACAGCAUAGGUCAAUGGUAGCUAAAAUUUCAGUUCUAUAUAGUUUAGGAUGACUUCAUGUGAUGUUUUAAGAAAAGUAACUGAUUCGUAUGGAAGAAAAACAGAACUUAGAAAGAUAUGUUCCACUUCUGCACAAGAAGACAAAAGAAAAAGAAAAGGAGGAAUGAGAUGUCUUACCGCUAUAUGUUUCCAUUGCAGAUUAGUUUUAUUCACACUUUCAAGUGAACAAAGUCCACUAAAAGCUACCAUCAGUAUGUAUAAAGACCAUGGGUGAGGUUGAGAGGCAAUAUAUUCAGGAUUUGACUUUUCUUUUCGGCAGAUGAGCUUAGUAGCAGGACAUGUUUGCACAGAAAUCAUAUUGUAUUGCAUAAUUGUUUAACCUUUUGAAAGAGGAACAAAUCAAUAUAUUUAGAUAACGAAAUAAUAUAUCUGCAAGAGUUCUUAGUGCAGAUUGCUAACCUGAGAUAUAGUUAUCUCAUCCAAUGAUAGAAAUAUACAACCUGCCUAAGUCGACGAAUUGAAGAAAGCGAGGUCCCAGUGAGAAAUAUCAAAACUUAAGCCUAAUAAGAUCAUUUAGAUGGUACUAAAAAUAGCUAGAAACCAUGAAACAAAAUAAAAAAAAUUCAUUUUUAAUAGUCAGUGUGUGUAGGGAACUUAAUGUGCACCCAUCUGAAGACCUGCAUCAGCAUGGCACACACCAUGUCCUCAUAUCUUGUUUGUGCCUUAGAAGCAUUAAAAGACUUGUUUUGUGUGGACAGUUAAUCUUGCAACAACUAAUCUGUUACCUAUCAACAAAAGUAACAGUCAAAGAUCAAGCUAAUACUCAAAAUUGUUUGUCAAUGGAAUAUAAAUGAAACUAUAUUGUUGAUAAGGCAUGAUAGAGAGAUAUGAUGAACAGUCUUUCAGAGUACAUAUAAAGCAAAUAUUUGCAUGUGUUGUCUUAAAGAAGGAAUAAAUCAAGGAUAAAAUGAUCAAGGUGUCUUAAAGAAUGAAUAAAUCAAGGAUAAAAUGAUCAAGGUAUGAUGACCUUGAGCAGUUUCUGCAAGGCAUGAAGCCAUCAAACCAAGCCUAUUUUUUUUACCAGAACGCAAACAGAUUGAGCUUAUCACUGGACAUUGCAGAAAUGUCACUCUUCUAAAACAAAUAACAUCAAGGAAAAACAAAUGGCCCAGAAACAUCAGAUUUCAUCAUCAAACAUACACCACGGCAAAGCUGACAGUAGCAUAUCACUGCAAAAAAACACCAAGAAUCAGCAGCAAUCGUUAAGUACGACAACUGAGAAGACCAUACAUACAUGACCCCAACAGGCUUGUGCAUGGAUUUCUUACCAUACUACACCAUAGCGAAUGCAAUUAAAAUCAAAGGAAAUAAUUGGAUUUCAGUUUAUCUCAUCAUUGGUGGCAAAUUUAGCAAGAAUAUUACCAUUUGAAUAUUGCAGAGCUGCGGCCAUCCUUAACAGUGAGGACAUUAACUGAAUCUUGCAGCCUUGCAAGCAGCCAUAACAGCGAGGAUAAAACUUAAUGGAUGGCUUAGCCUGACAGCGGAUGCAAACUGCAGCAAUGGAAGACAAUCCUCUGCCUAAUCUGCUGUACAUCCUAACCCAUGAGUAACUCAAUGGGACCAAGGCAAGAUGGUGGAUCCUAUAAAACCUCAAGUGAAUGCAUGGGAAAUAAUCAAUGAUGAGGUAGAACAGACUUACAUUGCAGCCUCUGUGCUAAUGGUCGGCUGGUCAGCGCAAGGACAUGAAUUAGAACAGGAGGGAGGGGAGCGGCACCUCGACUGAUGGCGUCGACCUUUCACAGCUGCAGCAGAUCGAUGAUGCAAAACCAACAUGUCAAAUGCCAGUGGACAGAGAAUACGCGAGUGGCGGUGCCGCGGAUUUGGUGGACCUGACCUCUAGACCUCAUUGGGAGGGAGAGGCAGCGGUGGGUCGGCGACGAUGGCUGGAGGAGGGCGAGACUGCGAUGACGACGACGUGCGCGAGUGAAGGAAGAUGGUGAGUCUGCGAUGGAAACGAUGCCGUGCGAGUGGAGGAGGACGGCGAGGAGAGGCGAGGCAACGCGCGUGAGGGCAGGAGAACGGCGAGGUGGCGGUGGCGACGGCGCAUGCGAGGGGAGGAGCCGAGGAGGAGAGCGUGGCGGCGCGCAGAGGGAGGAGGGCGAGUGCGCGUGCGAGGGUGGGGGGCGACGGGGCUAGGGUUUGGUGCAGGCCAGCGAAAUCCACACCGUCCGUUCCGGAUCCAACGAUUUCACAGGUACGGAAGGGCCGGCACAGUUGGACACGUGUACGGCCAGAUCUACCCUAGAUCGAGAUCCGACGGGUUUACGGUGGAUAUCAGCGGGGACCAAUGCGUAAUUAACAGAACUGCGGGGGCUUUUUUGCAAAAGUGACAUCUGCCGUGGCACCCCUAACUUUCCAGCAUUCCCACGGCGUUUAAGUAAAUCAUCAAUAUAUCAGCGGGGACCAAUGCGUAAUUAACAGAACUACGGGGGCUUUUUUUGCAAAAGUGACAUCUGACGUGGCACCCCUAACUUUCCAGCAUUCCCACGGCGUUUAAUUAAAUCAAUAUAUAUGCAUUGCCACUGUAUUGGAGGUGGGAGGAAGCGUGUACGUAUGUCUAGCCUAGGCCAGUACGGGAGGGAUGCGGCUUCCCCUCCACACCCUUGCACCUCCGUGUCUCACGCACGGCGUGUUAUUACUUCUCCGUUUCCUUUUGUCGUAUGAGCAACACUAGAAUUUUUUUUAAAAAAAAUCCCCAGUUAUUUGAUGCUUCCCCCCCAUCCCAUCAGCCAUGGUCCUGAACUAAGCUUUGGUUGUGUUUAGAUAAGGGGUAUAAAGUUUUGGUAUGUCACAUCAGAUAUAUGAACACACAUUUGAAGUAUUAAACAUAGUCUAAUAACAAAAUUACAGAAUCCACCUGUAAACCACGAGACGAAUUUAUUAAGCCUAAUUAAUUCAUCAUUAACAAUGUUUAAUGUAGCACCAUAUUGUCAAAUCAUGGCGCAAUUAGGCUUAAAAGAUUCGUCUCGCAAUUUACACACAAUUUGUGUAAUUAAUUAUUUUUUUUAUCUAUAUUUAAUACUCCAUGCAUACAUCCAAAUAUUUGAUGUGACAUAGUGUAAUUUCGAAGGGAUCUAAACAAGGCCUCUAUGAUGAUGGUGGCGGCGACAGCGGUAGCGGAUUCAGUCCCUCUGCUGCCGAGCACAAGCGACACGAGCAGAUUGGCAACCUCGCCGUCGAGCUCAAGCACCCGCGCCUUGCUUCGGAGCCAUCAGCCAUGGUACCGAGGUAACCUAGCUUCAUGGGACCACCCGCGGCGGCUGAUUUGGUCCCUUGCAGCCGAGCACAAGCGACACACGAGCAGAUCGGCGUCCUCGCCGGCAAGCUCGAGCACCACGCAGUGCAUUAGGCAACACAACAUCGAUCUCAAAGUGCGGGCCACCCAAUCGAUUGCCUUGCUUCCGAGUUGGAGCUUGGGCUCUUGGAACUAGUAGCAGGUAGUACUUGUCUCUGAUCCUGAUCUUCUUUCGUGGUUUUGCUUUAAAUCUGUUCUUUUGGUACGGUAUCAUAAUGAUAUUUUGUAGCUUAACAAUAUGGCAAAAAUAUUUUGUAGCCUGAAGAAGUGAAGAUAAUAUUUGCAAUCUCAUAUCCCCUAGACUAUAUAGUUCAGUAACUUACAAGUGUAAAUUGUUUAUGUACUAAGGAAAAGGCUAUACGUACUAACUUUUUCUUACUAAAUUCUUACUAACACUGAUGUGUCAUGCUAUGAGUACACCUAGAAUUUUUGUAACUUCCAUCUACUUAAAUCAAACGGUUGAGAUGAUUGUUAGUAAAAGUUUAGUAUGAAAAAUUUAGUACGUGUAGCAUUGCUCAUGUACUAAAUAUAUUUAAUAAAUCAAUUAAACAUGUAGUGAAAAUCGUGUCAUAUUGCUGAAUCGGCCUCCCUUGAUGCAACCCUUGACUUUGUGGAGUCAUUAACAUAGGAGUAUGAAAUGAAUAGGAGUAUGAAAUGAAGUAUGUGUCCAUGCAUCCAGAGCAGUGCUAUACUCUGAUACGUGUAAAAAAAAGUGUGGUUAUUGGGAACCUCUAGAUGAUCCUAACACAAGAAAAAGUAAUGGAAAAAAAUCAGUGACAAUAAUCAAGGCAAGCAGUUUCUUUUAAGAAAAACGAUUAUGUGAUCAGUAAUACCAUUACUGUGGUAUGUGGAUGUGGUUGCGCUUGCAUCUCUACAGGUUGAGGAUGCAGUGAUUGGGCUGGGACAUCGUUGUGCACUACUACAAAAAUACCCAUUAGUGCCGGUUCUUAAGGCCUAAUAAGUGUCGGUUUCGGGCCCGACACCUUUUGGUCGGCACUAGUGAUCAAAGUUAUUGGUGCCGGUUCCAGAACCGGCACCUAUAAUAUUAUAGGUGCCGGUUAUACACCAAGAACCGAUACCUAUAUUUAUUAUAGGUGCCGGUUGUACCCUAGAACCGACACCUAUAUUGAUUAUAGGUGUCGGUUUUUUUAUAAGAAUCGGCACCUAUAAUUCUAAAAGCCAUAAAAAACAUAUUGUGAAAUACAUAAUCCUGAAACACAGAAAUCACAAAAAUUACACAAUAUUAUAUUCGCAGAUUCACAUAUGCAUUCACACAAAUAUGGACAUUCACAUAUGCAUUCGCAGAUUCACAUAUGCAUUCACACAAAUAUGGACGUUCACAUAUGCAUUCGUAUACGCAUCCACACAAAUCACAGAAUAUUACAUUCACAUAUGACAUCCACAUCCUCCACAUCCACAUCAUCCACAGAAAUACAAUAUGGAACAAGAAUGACACAAUAAUAUUCGCAUCGUCCACCAAAAUCACAGAAUAUUACAUUCACAUCUUGCACAUCCACAUCAUUCACAUUUCCAAGAAGUCUCAUUUUAAAAUCCCACAACAGUUCAUAUCAUUCACAUCUUCUUCCGGUGACAUUUUCUAAAGAUUGAUGAUCAAAUAACAAAAACGAUAAAACUUCAUUUACAGUAGGUAUGUUAUUGCUAAAAUUUGAAAAGAGAAGGAUAAACACGUGGCAAAAGUGAAGGAUAAACACAUGGCAAUAGCAAAAGUAAAUGCAGAGUUAGAAACUGUAGCAUUCAGUACCUAGUGUUGUACUAAUUACAUAGGCUAAAUGUAGAGUAGAACUAAAAUUUUGUUGUUAAUUAACAGGUUAAGGUUAAGGUGCCCUCAGGCCUCAUGGACACACCAGAGGACCAAUAACAUGGUGACCAUGAGCUGUUUGCUUGGCUUUCAGCUUCAGAACUCAAAAGGGAAAAAUAUUAAAGUGAACAGGGUUAUUUUGACAAAAGUGUUACUGAUUUCCAGCCAUUUUUGAACCAUCAGUGCAGAUAUGUCAUAUUAGUCUCUAAUUAAUCCUCCCGGUUGAAUUUAUUAAACUAAAGAGUUGUGAUAUUUAUAUACUCCAUAGUUCUGAUUUGCAGGGUCAAUGCCAGCAUUGGUGAAGUUGACACUGAAGAAGAAUGAGAAGAUGAAGAAGAUUUGUAAUUUUCAGUGACUUGUAUCUGUAUUUGUAGAAAGGAAUUUUCAGUGAUUUGUAAUUAUCUGUAUCUGUAAUGAGAAGAUGAAGAAGAUUUGUAAUUUUGUACUACUAAUUUAGUAGUACAAAAUUAGUGACAGGUAGAAGAGACUAAUGUGAUCCAAAAUUAGUGACAGUUGCGGUCUAAAACACUAUCAACCAAGAUAAUUAUAGUAAAGAGGAGAGGGGAACCUCUUGGCGUCGAUCCACGGCGGCGGGCGGUGGCGGUGGCGGCGGUGGGGGCGGUAGGGGGAGGUAGGGUGGCGGGCGGUGUGGGCGGAGAGCAGAGGGAGCGGCGGCGGUGGAGGAGAUCCGAGGGAGCGGCGGCGGUGGGUGGUGGCGGUGGCGGUGGCGGUGGCGGUGGCGGCAGUGGGCGGACGGCGGCGGCAAGUGGCGACGACGACGAUGGACGACGAUGGCGACGACCGCGAUUGUGAGGAGCGGGUGGGCGGAUAAGGCUGGGGGAGUAUAUACUAGCCACAUAGGUGUCGGUUUGUGUGGUAGAACCGAUACCUACAGGGAUAAAAGGUGCCGACUUUUUAUUAGAAAACCGGCACUCUUCCAUAAUAUAGGUGUUGGUUUUUUUUAAAAAAAACCGACACAUAAAACCGACACCUAUAUGUUUGCAUCAUAUUGGCCGGCAAGGGAAAUAGGUGCCGGUUUUGAUGUUUGCAUCAUAUAGGCCGGCGAGGGAAAUAGGUCCUAUUUCCCUCGCCGGCCUAUAUGAUGCAAACAUAUAGGUGUUGGUUCGUUUAAAUAACCACCACCUUUCGUAUAGGUGCUGUUUUUGUCCACGACCGCCACCUAUGCGAUUUUCGGACCGUUGGCGGGAGUAUUUUUAGUGCCGGUUUUAGAUAAAAACCGGUACCAAUGACCUUCCCAACAAAAACCGACACCUAUUAAUCGUUAUAGAUGCCGGUUUUUCGCUACAUUGACGGAAAAUGACUUAUAGGUGUCGGUUUUUGACUAACCAGCACCUUUGUGACCGACACCUAUGGGUGUUUUUGUAGUAGUGGCGGCAGAUGCAUCUUCCAAGAACAUAGAACUUGCUCCUGCAUCAUGCAGUUGUGAUGCCUCUCAUGGAGGAAUCAUGCUGUUGUUUGGCAUAGCACCAAGAGUUGGCGUCGAUGCCGGUGCUUGAUAUGAGAGCUUAAUUUACCAAGAUGCUAAUACAUGUUUAGACGUGAGUUGUUUGGAUGCUAGAGGUUUUGACGGGAGAACUGAGACAAAUGGUGCCAUAAUUCUUUUUCCCGCCAGCAAUUCUAUCUAUUUGGUGCCUAAAAACUGUUAUUAAAGUUAAUGACGUUGUUUCCAAUUAUUAAACGGAGGCAUAACACCGUGCGUGUGACGAAGGCGCAAGGUGUGAAGGCCCACUAGAAAAUACUAAACUAAUAAACGAUUGACAUAUGCAGGGAACUGGGAUGGGAACAUGGAAUUGGAAGAAGCCGCAUCCGUAAGGGAGAGGAGAGGGUGGGCUGGUCGGAAAGUGGAGAGGGUUUCAUGUUCCCUCAUUGAGGCUUACAGUUUCAUCUAGCACAAGUAGGGAUGAAAACGGUACGGAAACGGAUGGAAACCACUUUUAUCGUUUUCGUUUUCAUAUUUUUUCGGAAUCGGAAUCGGAAUUGAAAUAACCCCGAAUACGAAAACAAAAUCGUAUAUUAUCGAAUACAAAAACAGAGCGAAUAUGAAUCGGAGCAAAUACGGUUGGAUAUUUAUCAAAAUAUAAAAACCCCUUAAACUAAAAUUCUCAGAUCAAGAAAAAAUGUAGCUAAAUAUUAUUUUUCUAAAACAAUAAAUCAAGAUUUCUAUAUUUUAUCGAUUAAUUAAUGGUUAAAAGCAGUGCACAACGGAAAGUCGGGUAGUCUAAAAAAAAUGAAACAUAAGUCAGGUCGUUUCUUCGCGGAAGCUUCCUCGAGCCCACGCUGCGGCGCCUCUCCCCUUUACCUUGCUUUUUCACAUAUCCCCUUUUACCUUGCUAACUUGGAGCGCCCCCGUAGGCAACCCUAGUCAGGUCAGGUCGUUUCUUCGCGGAAGCUUUCUCGCGCUUUCUUCUCUUCCUCACAUAUAUUGGCUAGCUUGGAGCGCCCACGUCGCGGUUGCCUACGAGCGACAAAGAAUAAUAAGAGCAUCCACUCCAAGCAAGAAGAUACUCCAGUCCAGAUCGAUAGUAUUGACUUGGCCGAACGAUCGAUCGUCUCCGGCCACGGUAAGAUCGAUUCUCCUAUAUGCGAUCAAGUCCUGAUCCCUCUCUUGUGUGUAGAUCGAUACUCCUACUGAAUUACUCUGAAGAUACACUUGACUCAAGUGGAGUGGUAAGAGUUGUGUGGUUUUAACUUUGAUCCAGUUCGCGUGUUCAAUUCUCAACACGUUCAUAAUUUUUUCUUAGAAAAUAUUUGGAAAGACGUCUCUCCCUUUAAAUCUGUUUCUUUUUAACUGAUUAAUCUGAAAUGUUCGAUGUGAAACAGGACUUGCUGGUCCUUGGUUAAUCUGAUCUUGACAUGUGAGAGGCAGGACCGAUUAUUUUGUUGGCCGCCGGGGGCCUCGCCCAAGUUGAUCAAAGCCAAAUCUGGUCGCACUUUACACUCGAUCUCCCCUCUACAGUAUGUCUCCAUAUAUUCACAUGUACGCAAUCAUAUAAUUCAUCCAAUUCACAACUAUACCUAUAUAUCUCCAUCUCUACCACUUAAAAAAUUAAAAACGUUUCCGUCAUCCGUAAUAACGAAAAAAGGCGAAAAAACAUAAAAAGAAAAAAAAAGGAAAGUCUGAUUCAAUGACGCUGAGUCCCAUAUAUUUCUAUUUCUAAAGCCACAAUUGAAAUUUGCCAACAAAAUUUUCCAAAUUCGAAGAACCCUAAUUUCGGAUAAGAACCCCAAGAGUCAAAAUCCAAAUCAAUUAAGAUAAGGGUUCGGAUUACAUUUACCGGAUUUGAAGCCCCUAAGCUCACCGGAGCGGCACCACCGCACCUUCACCUCCUCGCAGUCGCGUCGGGUUCCUCGUGCGCACACUAUCCUAGAGCACCCCUCCACCGUCCCUUGCCAGAGACGGCAAGAGUAGGCUUGGUGCCUCCCCCCACGCCCGCCACCGAUGAGGUCCGGGCCGCUCGGCGCUCAUUGCCGUUUGCGCGCCGCCCUCGGGUGUGCCCCCCAGCCGGCGAAGCAGGAGCCGCUCGACGGUCGUCACCGCACGCGCACGCUGGCCGGACCGCCUUCAUUCCGCUCGCUCGUCACCGGAGAGAAAGGGGAUCGGGAGAGAAGGAUAUGGGAGCUAGGGUUUUGCCCCUCUCUCUCGGUUGGCGCUUCAUCUGACGCGAGGAUGAUCGGAGCCAUCCAUCAGAUAGGACGUCUCAGAUUUGCCCCGCGUCGGGCCGCCGCUGCUGAUUACUCUGCCCAAUGGGCCGCGGAACUGCAUCGGGCCAUCGCCGCGAAUGUGGGCCACGCUCGGCUUCUCGGCUUGUGGGCCGUUGAACUGACUCGGCUCGCACGAAGACGGGUUGGCCCAAGUUUGGGCUGGCUUUGGAAGACCUGGGCCAAAAGUUAAGAAAAUCAUUUAUAAGCCUUCUUAGGCAAAUAGAGUUGAUGAAAAAUUAUUUUAGCCUCUAAAUGAAAUUAUUUCUAAACCAGACAUCGGCUUCAAUUAAUGGAAGGUGAUUGUUUAUAGGUUAAAACAAUAAGGUCUUGAAUUAGAACUUCAACAUUGUGGUAUUAGAGCUUAACUUUAGCCUACUCAAUUCCUUAUUCACAUCAUCUCGAUGAUUAGAAGCCAUCAGUGCCAUCUUGGUUCGACAUGAACAAUUUUGAGUCCAAUAAGUUUAAUAUAAUGUGUUUAGCUUCUUAUCUUUACUGCUUAGUAAAGAUUAGCUCAUGUUCAUGUUCAAUUAAAGUUAAUAUGAUUAAAUUAGGGUUCAUGAUGCACUGCUCUCGAAGCCCGACUGUUCUUGAAGCCCAUCGCAGCUUGUGCGCCCGCUUCAUCGGACCGCCGACACCAUGUCUUCGCAUGGUGCCACCCUCAGGCGCGCCUCCUAGUCGGUGAAGCCAUAGCCGCUUGCGUGCUCCACCUCGACGGACCUCCGUCACCACCGUCGCCACCAUCCACUCUCUCGUGUCGCCGGAGUUUGGAUCGGGGAGAGUAGGGGAGAAAAGGGAUUAGGGUUAGGGUUUUCGCACCCCUCCCCUCUUCGGCCGGUGAUUUCAUCGGCACGGGAGCGAUCGGACAGCUCAGAUCAGCCCCGUGUUGGGCCACCAACGCUGCUAGACCAUGCAAUCUUUGGGCCGCGCUUAGUUCGCCCUGCGUCGGGCCGUCGCCGAUAUAUGGGCGUGCAUGCUCGCCGCGCACCCAUGCUAAAUGGGUCGGUCCGAUAUUUUAGGCUUGUAGUUUUUCUCGUUGCAACCCACAGGCACUAUUGCUAUUCUUAAGUAAUUAAAAAAUUUGUAACUUUCCGUUCAUCACAUUGUUUUUUGUCCGUGUUUUUGUCCGUCAACGCGCUAAUUCGGUUGAAUCGGACUCGAGUUCACUAGAGAGAAAACGCAAGGGUUUAUCGGAGAGAUAAACUCGAGUUCGAGCUUAAUAUGAUAGCGAUUUCUACGGGAUUUCCUUCAAUUUCUUGAGGGGAAAGAUGGAGUAGAAGAUAUAGAACAAAAGCCCUCAACUAAUUUGAGAUUAUCUACACGGUUUUGGUUGAAUCGGACGCGGGAUUCGGGUGGCGUCGGGUGUAGGCAGGGUUUUGGCUGGCUGGAGCUUGAAGAUGCUACUGUAGUGACUGGGAAGUAAAAUAGACUUAUGCUGGGACAUCAUUUCCUAGGCUCGAUUACAGGAGGGCACAAAAUGGACUUCAACGGAGAAAGGAAACAUGCCAGAGACAUAUAAUAGACUGAAGGGAGGGAAUAUGAACUUUUGUAUAUUUGGCCCAAACCCAAUUAAAUAUAAUUGUUAAAUGAUGUUUGUAUUAUUAAAAUUAGCAAUUAAGCUCUUGAAAUUCCAAUAAAAUUCCAAAGAGUGCAACUAAUAAUGGAUAAUUUAAUAAAAUUAAAUUUAACCAUAUCAUUUUAUUUCUCACAGUUACUUUACUUGUAAAUUGAUUUAAUUAUACACCUACCUACUUAAAAAUACCAAAUAUUUCAGGAAAUUUGUAUUUCAAUUAAUUACAUAUAAUGUAAAUAUUUCUCAACUUUUCCUCGAUUUUCUGGUCUUUACACUUCUCGUUGCAACGCACGGGCACUUUUGCUAGUCUUAACUAAUUAAAAGAUUCGUAAUUUUCCGUUUGUCACCCCUCUUUACGUCCGUAUUUUCGUCCUUCCGUCCUAUCCCAAUCCGAAUCUGAUUUAGAUUUUGUGAACGAUGGAAAAAGUUGCAAAAAAAAUAAAGAUGAGAGAAACCCAAACUUCAACAAGUCACCCCAAAACACCAAAUACAUUGCGUCCGACGCCGCCUCUCGGGAUUGGGUUGGGCACCGCCGCCGCUGCUCGGGUAGGGGAGGCGCCGCCACUCGCCAAGAGAGGGGGGAGGGCGGCGGCGCCGCCACUCGGGAGGAGAGGCACCGCCGCCGCUCGGGGGAAGGGCACCAUUUCGAGAGAGAGCGAGAGAGGAGGGGUGGGAAAAGAAUUCUAGGGUUAGGUUUUGGGUGCCCAUUAUUUAUUUAGGUUAGGAUCAAUCUGGACCAUCCCUUCGAUCGGACGGCUCCAGCUUCUCCCGCGUCGGGCAACUGGACUAUUGGGCCGCUGCACUAUUGGGUCGCCGAAGCACAUGUACUAGAAGAUCGAUUGCAGGAGGACGCAAAAUGGACUUCAAUUGAGAAAGGAAACAGUCCAGACAAAUAGAAUAGACAAAAGGGAGGGCAUAUGGACUUUUCCAUAUUUGCCCCAAACCUAAAAGGGAGGAUUUUGAUUCUUUUUUCAAUUAAAUAAUUGUUAAAUGAUGUUUGUAUUAUUAAAAUUAGCAAUUAAACUCUGGAAAUUCCAAUAAAAUUUCAAAGAGCGUAACAAAUCAUGGAGAAUUUAAUAAAAUUAAAUUUAACCAUGUCAUUUUAUUUCUCACACUUGCUUUACUUGUAAAUUGAUUUAAUUAUACACCUACCCACUUAAAAAUACCAAAUAUUUCAGCAAUUUUGUAUUUUAAUUAGUUACAUAAUGUAAUUUUUUCUUAACUUUUCCUCAAUUUUCUGGUCUUUACAUUUCCCAUUGCAACGCAUGGACACUUUUGCUAGUAUAUAUAUCUUAACUAAUUAAAAGAUUCGUAAUUUUCCAAUCGUCACUUCAAUUUUCGUUCGUCGCUUGCGUCGUCCGCAAGACGCGAUAGCCAGGACUUGGCUUCCUUCGUUCCUCAUCCAACUGGGCUUAGGUAGGGAAAUCAGAUAGGGAAGUCCACCGCACGGCCUUUUCGGGAAGAAGUAAGGAAUUUGGGAAGAGGGAAUAAAUCAUAUUGAAAUUUCCCCGAAAUCUCCAAAAUUAAGAACCCUAAUUCGAUUGUAAGACCCAAUGCCCUAAAACACGAAUCAAAUCCAAACAAAAUCAUUAAAUUUAAGCUUUGGGUUUCGAAAAUUUACCGGCCUAAAACCUUGCCUUAAACCUCGGAGGCUCGCUAGGAGAUAAACCCUCCUUUCUCUUGAAGAUCCAUUUACAACGAACAGGCUUCUUUUGUUUUGGCAAGUGCACAAGCUCCCAUGUGCCAUUCUUCUCAAGAGACCGCAUCUCCUCCUGCAUAGCUGAGAUCCACUUCUCACGAUCUCCAGAAACAACAGCUUCAGUGUAUGUGGCUGGCUCAAGAGUAUUCUCCACCUGUUCAGCACAACUAAAAGCAUAAUAAACCAUAUCACAUUCCUCAAUAAGGCGGACUGGAGCUCCACAACUCCUCUUUGUUCGGUGAUGUGCAAUAGGUUCAUCUUGUGGCUGCAAAACAUGAGAUGAGUGCUGAACAGUAUCAUUAACAUCAUUACCAACAAUUUCAGUUUCCUGAUCAUCCAUGUGCUCCACCUACACGCUAACAUAUUGCUGCUCCUCAUCAGAACCACCUGGUAUGACAUCUGUGGGCAAGCUGUCAUUAAACAUAACAGAUUCAUUGAAAACAACACUCCUACUCAUGAACAUCUUAUUAGUUUCAAGAUUCCAUAACUUAUAUCCUUUUACUCCUGAACCAUAACCAAGAAACAGACACUUAAUAGCUCUAGGCUCUAAUUUUCCAUUAUCAACAUGAGCAUAAGCAGUGCAUCCAAAAACUCUCAACUGUGAAUAAUCAGCAGGCAUACCAGACCAUACCUCAAUGGGAGUUUUCUUAUUAAGUGGGAUAGAAGGCGACCUGUUGAUCAAGUAGCAGGCGGUGUUAGCAGCCUCUGCCCAAAAACGCUUGUUCAUGCGAGCGUUGGACAGCAUACAACGAGCCUUGGAGAUGAUGGUUCUGUUCAUGCGCUCAGCCACACCAUUCUGCUGUGGAGUUUACGGGAUGGUGUGAUGCCUAACGAUGCCUUCCUUCCUGCAGUAAUCAUCAAAAGCAUCCGAACAAAAUUCACCACCAUUGUCAGUGCGAAGUACUUUUACCUCCUUUUCAGUUUGCCUUUCUAUCAUGACUUUCCACUCUUUAAAAGCAGCAAAUGUAUCAUCUUUAUGUUUUAGGAAAUAAGGCCACACUUUUCUAGAGUAAUCAUCAAUAAUGGCAAGCAUAUAACGAGCACCACCAAGGGAGGGCUUACGAGAAGGCCCCCCACAAAUCAGCGUGUACAUAAUCAAGUAUACCUUCGGUGCGAUGAACUGAGGUAUUGAAUUUUACCCUCUUAUGCUUACCAAAAACACAGUGCUCACAGAACUUCAUGUUACCCUGAGUGCAGCCAUCCAGCAGGUUCCUCUUCAUCAAUUCUGCCAUACCAAGUUCACUCAUAUGUCCAAGACGCAUAUGCCACAGGUUAGUCUUACUAGGUUCAUCUUUAGAAACAGCAGCAGCGGUAAUAGAACCAUGUAAUGUACUUCCUCUAAGAACAUAUAAGUUUGCAGAAUUCAUAUCACCAAUCAUAUAAACGAGAGAACCUUUCGAUACCUUUACAACUCCACCUGAACCGGAGUAUUUGUAUCCUUCUGCAUCAAGUGUGCUGAGAGAGAUGAGAUUUCUCGCCAUCCCUGGUAUGUGUCUCACAUCUUUCAGCGUGCGUGUCAUGCCAUCAUGUGUCUUGAUCUGAACGGAGCCAAUGCCCACGAUCUCACAUGGGUUAUCAUCUCCCAUGCGCACAACAUCUCCAUUCUGCAUAGACUUGUAAGAACUAAACCAAUCUUUGUUAAUGCAGAUAUGAAACAAACAUGUAGUAUCAAGUAUCCAUUCAUCAUGACUAGCAACACAACCAGCAAAAACGACAAGACAAUCUCCUGAAUCAGAGUUUUCAGCACUGGUAACAACAGAGGCCUUACCAUCAGAUUUCCUUUUCUCCUUAUUCUACAGCUUCCAACAUUCUUCAAUGAAGUGAAUUUUCUUUUUGCAAUACUUACCGAACUUUUUACCUCUGGACUUAGAACGACCUCUACUUUGGCUCUUGUCACGAUCAUUGCUGUCGUUGUAGGCUCUCUGCUCAGAUCUGCCUCAGACCUGCAAUGCUUCGCCCUUAGAGGACGACGCAUCAGACUGAACCAUACCUUUCAUCUUCUCCCUGUUUUGGAGCGCCUCAUAAGCUUCUGCUAAGGUUAGUUCAUCACGGCUUAAAAGUAUGGUGUCACGAAAAUUUGCAUAUAAACUAGGCAGUUAGCAUAACAGUAAAAGACCUAAAUCUUCAUCAUCAAAUUGUACCUCCAUCGACACUAGGUCAGCAACGAUCUCCUUGAAGACCGAUAUGUGGUUCAACACAGAACCACUCUCCUGCAACUUGUGCGAGAACAACUUCAUCUUGAUAUGCAUCUUACUGGCUAGAUAUUUAGACAUGCAGAUCGAUUCCAGUUUGAGCCAAAGUUCUGCAGUAGUCUUUUCCUGCAACACUUCUUGCAAAAUAUCAUUAGAUAGAUGAGGUUGGAUCAGCAACAGAGCCUUACGAUCUUUCCGCUUCUCCUCAGCGGUCCAUUUAGUCGAUUUCUUCUUCCCGAAGCUUUCCAGCGCCUCAUCAAGAUCCGAAGUUUGCGCCAGAACAGCCCGCAUCUUGACUUGCCACAGCAAGAAUCUCGUCUUGUAGUCUAGCAGCGGUAGAUCAUACUUCAUCGACGCCAUCGCGAAACCCUAAUGUGGAAAACAAGCUCUAAUACCACUUGUUAGGAAACGAUAAGCAAACAAAUGAUGAAGAACAAUAGAUCAAUCACAGAAGACACGAGAUUUAACGUGGAAAACUCUCCCAAAGCAGGAGAGAAAAAACCACGGGUGCCAGCCAGCAAAAUAUCUUCACUAUAUCUGAGGUGAGGUUACAACGCCGCACGGCGGCUUACAAGAGGUAUAUAUAUGGUGGAACCCUAAAAGGGAUGACGCUCCGGCCCAAGCCUCCCAGCAACGGGCCUCCGCUCCACUACGGCAGAAGCUGGCCUUUAUUAAGUGCAAAUGAAUUUGGAUCACAACUCAACACCUUUCGCCUCCCUUGCGCACAAAACCUUGGUUCCUCCGGCUCCCAGAAAACCCUAACUUCCCCAAUUCUUCUCUGGCCAUCUCCGUCGUAUCAAUGGAUCUUGGAGCCUCAUCCAUCGACACCUCCGGGAUGAAGCUGCGAAUGAAAGAGUCACUGCCUGGCCACCAGGAUCUAGAGCGAUCGGAAGGAGGUACAGAAACCCAAACCCGCCCGAGGGCAAGUUGUGGUGUUAGAGGAUUUUAUUCGAUGCGGUUUCCUACCUCCUCCUUCUAAAUUUCUCCUCUUGAUUGUAAAUUUCUACGGCCUCCACCUUCACUUGAACCCUAACUCUAUUGCUUUUUUGAGCAUAUUUGCUCAUCUUUGUGAGGCCUACGUCGGUGUAGUGCCGUUCCUUGAUCUCUUCCGCUAUUUUUACAAGCUCCGAUGGAUAUGAUGGAGUCCAACAGGAUCUCCAAAUGCUGCGGGUUCCGUCUCCGAGAUGGUAUGAAGGCGGAAUAUAUCCCCUUCCAAUGCUCCUCAUCUCAGAGCUCGUGGAGGUCAAGGUGGCUCUAUCUUCAGAAAGACAAACUUGACCCCGUACUUGUCGUUCCCGAGAACAAGCCCGAGUGGUCCCCUGACUCGACCUCAAAACAUUCUUUAGCUCUAUCCCUCUAAGCCUUUGUAGACAUAAUUAGCGAUCUUUUAAAAGGGCGCUUUUAUGGUAUCUUUUAAAAGGUGCCGGUCUUUUAAAAGGAAACAUAAAAUACUAUUGGUGCCGAUCUUUUAAAAGGAUGCUUUUACGGUGUCUUUUACUGCCAAAUGUAGGCCCUCUUUGUUUAGGCUUAUAAGCCAACUUAUAAGUCGAAAAGUCUAAGCCUAAACAAACAAGCAGCUUUUCCGUUUGGCUUUUUUGAAGCCAUAAGCCACUCUAACACUAUUAAGCCAAAAGCUAGGUUGGAGAAGCUUUUUUGGUUUAUGUGAGGUAGAUAUAUGACUCAACUACUAAACUUAGGACAUUAAAUCCACCGGCUUAUAAAUCAUAUAAGCCAAUAAGCUGACUUAAAAGUCUAGGCCAAUAAACCUAAGCCUAAACAAAGAGGGCCGUAGUAAUGUGGCUUUUACGGUAUCUUUUAGAGUAUCAUUAAAUCGGACCAUCGGACCAUUGAUUUAUAUGGGUACUUUAGACUUUUCGUUAAAUCAGAUCAGUAAUGUGGCAUUUGACUUUUCUAAACCAAUCAUACAAUGAGUAUCUCUCGUCAUUGUCCUCGCUGCAUGUCAUUACUGACGACUUGAUCAGCCAGCGUCGUCGACAGGCUCGCUGCUAUAGCGAUCGCAAGCAUCGAUAACAUCUCUACCCGUGGGCCGUGGAGCCAGAUUUUGCUUCUGAGUAUGAAAGAACGAAUAUGAAUGCAACUGUGUUGUUUACCUGUUUAGGAUAAUCGAUUGAUUUACACUUGGCAUGAUUAUGCAAAUCUUGUGUUCCACCAAAGGAGGAGGAAAAAGAAAUUAACAGGGCAGUGGCUGCCUGCGCAUGCUUGGGUAGCAUGGCCGAAGAAGGAAGAAAGAAGAAACAUGCAUGCAUGCGUGUUGUAAUUUGGAUAAUUAUCUUUCAACCGAAUAAGCAGCAAUUAAAUAACAAACAGAUAAAUCACUUUCAUAAAAUAUAUCAACUAAUAAAACAAGAAAUCGGGGAAAAUAUCCUCGUCGACAUGCAUGCACAUGCUGUCCGGGAAAAAUGGGAGGUAGAAACAGAAAUUCAGUUGAGACGAAGAUCCUGUAUUUUUUCCAAUUAUUAUACCCAUCCACCAAAUUUACUGUCACGCAUAGUAUCGUGUGUUUAAUUCUGGUGCGUUAGAUCCAUCCACUUAAAUUUGGUACCUUAAAAAAAAUCCUUUUAAAAAGAACCAUCACCUUACAGUAAUAUUCCCUCCGUUUCACAAUGUAAAUAAUUUUAGAAUUUCUCAUAUUCAUAUUCAUAUUGAUGUUUCCUCUUUAUGCCGCGGCCCUCCGGCAUGGCCCCUCCGGCCCCGGUGCUUUUUUCUUUGGCACCGUCCCUCCCUCUCCAGCGCGCCCUUCCAGCUCCGAUGCCUUCAUCGAGGCCACCGGAUCGACCCCUGCGCCACCUCCUUCGCCGCACCAGAGAGGAGGGAGACGCGCAAGUUUAGAAGAAGGGAGGGGAACGUGGAGCUUCAGACCGUCUGCACAUACAACAUUAAAAGCAUUUGAUUUCUGCACCUGCAAAAUUAUGCAACGCAUGGAAUCAAAUUUGGGAAGCGAAGAGUUGCACCGGUAGAUUGCAGGUCAUGGAAAGAUAGUAUGUUCACCUUCUACUCACUCAUAAGUUUGAGUCAGCAAGUUGCGGCAUUGAACCCAUUACCCCUGCAGUCCAGUCUGAAAAGUGAACACCUGCUGCGCUGCUUGUAAAGGCAAAUAUAUGAAGAACAUGAUUAAAAGGCACAUCAAUUAAUAUGAUGGCAUGAGCUCACCUAACAUGGCUAUUCAGUGUAUCUCUGUUCUCCUGGACAGAAAUCAUGGUGGUGUGUGGUCAGCACUUCUCUUAGGAACUUACCUAGAACUAAUAUUCAACUGAAGAUGUAGAUGGCACUGUAUUGAACUUGAAAACCCUUAAGAGUGAUUGAAUUAUAUUGGGAUCAAAUUAAGGGGUGAUUCAGAAUGAAUUUUUAGUGGUAGCAAAUCAAGAGAUGAUUCAUACAAAAUGAUGACACUGCAAAAAAACAAACAUCAUGACACCUUGCUAUGAGCCUGAAAACCAAAGGCAGCAUGCAAAAAGUUAAUCAUUUUUUCUGCAACAAUCCUGUAUUAUGUCAAACUUCCCAAGCAACAUCAUCUUUAUUUUAGCUGCUACAAGUAAUAUCAGGUAAGAAUAAAAAGGAGAAAUUAGAAAACAUUAAUUUUGGCUUAAUAAAGCUAUGUUCUGAAAAUACAUUCCGUACUUAUAAAUUCAGCACUAAUUAAUUUGGAAUGGAUAUAUACUUCAAGUGAUAGUAAGUGUGUUCAUUGUUUUCCCUCCAUAGGACGAAAAAAAAUAAUCCAAAAUGGACUUUUCGAAGAUUGUGGGGGCUAUUAAUGGCAUCAAUGAGAUUUCCACUUUAUGUAAAAUGGUCAAAGAUAUCAUUAAAUCUUGCUGGAGUGGCAUACGGGAGCAGGAGCUGCAAGACAAAGUAAUGAAGUUGGAGAAUGACUUGGAACGUUUCAGAGAUAUUCUUCCUGCAAUGUACAACCUCAUUGAUCGAGCGGAAUGGACGAUCCACAAAGACCAUGUGCCAGAGCUUCUUCUGAAACUCAAGGAUGCAGUUUAUGAUGCUGAGGACCUUCUUGAUGAGUUGAAAUGGCAUGAACUGAAGGUGGCCAUGGAGGGCUCCGCAAACAAAUCUCCUCUUAUUGACUUCCUUGAUAGUGUCAUUCAAGGUAGUUUCAACAAAGUGAGUGGUACCUAUGAAAAACUGAAUAAUGUUUCUAGUCUGCUGGAGAAGAUGGGGUUACAUGAAGUUACACAACACUUUGACAAAUCCUUCAGGCCCGAGACUACCUCUUUCCCAACUGAAACAGAAAUGUUUGGUCGUGACAAUGAAUUGGAGCAGGUGAUGCAAUCGCUUGGAGUACCUGCUAAAGGUAGCCGGGUCCUUUCCAAACGCAAGAAACCAAGCAGUGCAAUUAAUGCAUCACCAAGCACAUCAAAAACAAAACAACAUAACGGUACACAAAUGAGUGAUGAAUCAGGAAUCACAUGUAUUCCUGUUCUGCCUAUAUAUGGAAUUGGGGGUGUUGGAAAGACCACUUUGGCCCAGCAUAUCUGCCACGAUUCACGGGUCAUGUCUCACUUUGACCCGAUUAUUUGGAUUUGUGUUUCAGAUGACUUUGAUGUGAAGAGGUUAACUAAAGAAGCCAUACAAUCCUGUUCUACAAAAGAAGCUGAUAAUUUGGAUUAUCUUCAGCGUGCUCUUUCAGAAGAAGUGAUGAACAAAAGGUUAUUGAUCAUACUUGAUGACAUGUGGGGUGAUGUCUUGAGGGAGAGUGGACACUGUUGGAAGAGGUUUUGUGCACCUUUGACGAAUGCGCUACAAGGAAGUAUGAUGUUAGUCACCACUAGAUCUCCAGAUGUUGCUCGUGAGGUGCAAACAAUGGAGCCCAUCCGAUUAGAAGGAUUGCAGGAUGAUGUCUUUUGGGAUUUCUUCAAAUUAUGUGCAUUUGGAUCUAAGAAUUCUGAAAAUUACCCAGAGUUAGUGCACAUCGGUAAAAGCAUAGUCCAAAAGUUGAAGGGUGUACCUUUGGCCGCCAAAACUCUAGGACGCCUAUUAAGAAUGAGCCUUGACACUGAAUACUGGAAUAGGAUACUAAAAAGUGAACUAUGGGAGCUGAAACAAAAUAAUACUGAAAUUUUGCCAGCGCUUAGAUUGAGCUACCUGUAUUUACCAACCCACUUGAAGAGAUGCUUCUCAUUCUGUGCUGUUUACCCAAAAGAUCACAAAUUCGAAGAGGAUAAUUUAGCUGAAAUUUGGAUUGCAGAAGGCUUUGUGCAACCUGAAGGUAACACUCUAAUUCUAGAUACUGGCAAACAGUACUUUGAAGACCUUGUAAACCGGUCUUUCUUUCAGAGUGUUGGUGGUAAUAAACAUGUAAUGAUCUGUUGCAUGACAUGGCACAACUAGUUUCAAAGGAUGACUGCUUCAUUUUAAAAGACAAGGAUGAUUUUGAGAAGGUUCCUCCGAGUGUUCGUCAUCUGUUCGUACUCCCUAGCAUAGCCUUUGAUUGUACUCAGUUGCUGAGCCUAUGUAAGCACACAAAGUUGCGCACUCUACUGUGCUACAGGUCUUUACAGAAGCAAAGUCUAGCUUCUGUUAUGGACCAUUGGUGUAGUAAACUUCAGCAUAUGCGCGUGGUUUUGUGUGCCCACACAAAGGAGCUACCGAAGAGUAUUGGGAAAUUGAAGCAUCUACGGUACCUGGAAAUCUCCGGAGCUUGUCCUUUCAAAAGCCUUCCCUCGGAGUUAUGUCACCUACAUAAUUUGCAGAUUUUUUCAGCUCGAAAAUGCAAAUUAGAAAGCUUGCCCGGUGACUUCAGUAAGCUAUGCAAUUUACAGAGGUUCGAAUCAUGUGGAUUUAACUCUCCCAAAUGGAGAAAGUCAUUUUGAUGCAUCCACUGGGCAGGGAGUCGGACUUACAUUGAUGAAGAACGUGAACCAAAUUUGUGGAGGAGUGACGAUAAAUAAUCUUGGUGCAACAAGCAAGGAUAUUGCAGCAGAAAGUGCGAUAAAGAACAAGAAAAAUCUUGACAGACUGAACUUGAAAUGGUCUUCUGUGAGAUCGCAAGACCAUAAUGACAUCGAGGUUCUUCAAGUCCUAAUUCCUCCUACCAGUCUCAAGUGUCUGACCCUCUAUGGUUAUCUAGGUCAAUCUCUUCCAAAUUGGUUUUAUCCUCAUAAUCUGCCAAGCUUAAAAUCCCUUGAGUUUCAUGAUUGUCAUAGACUUUGUAGCUUACCAUUUUAUGGUAUAUCACCACCGUGCAUCAACCUAAAUGAGGUACCCGAGGUUCCAAUUGAGAACGGUAUGGGUAGCAUUGGCGUAUUCUCAUCCCUGGUCGACCUAAAGAUUGUGAAGUGCGAUUACUUAUCAAACCUCGACAAAUUUAUACAACCAGCUUGUAUACCGGCUAUCAAGCGAAUCACAUUACAAAGAUUAACAUACACAAAGACAAAGGUAUUGCCUCUACCAAUUGGUAAAUUUGAUUGCCUCGAAGAAUUGGACGUGGCUGGUUACCAGAUAUUCAAUGCUUCAGAAAGUCUGUCCAUGCGCACUCUCAAGGAGCUCAAGCUAUGCAAUUCUGGGGACCUCCCAUGCUUUUUUGAGUUCCCCUCCCUUACCAACAUGUUCUUAGUCGUCUUGCCUGUAACGUCCAUUCCACUACGAGUGUGGUGCAGUAACCUUCCAGCUCUACUUCGAUUAAAAAUUUAUAGCUGUGCGAACCUUGAAUUUAUUGGGGAAUCAGUCUUCACUGGCAAUCGUCCUCAAAGAGACAGUUGCAGCACUACAACAUUCGCAUCCCUUAUUUCCCUAGAAAUUUGUGGCUGCGAAAAGCUGACAAGCAUUGAUGACCUCGUAACGCCUGAGUAUCUUCCUGCUAUUGAGAAAAUUGAUGUUAGCUCUUGUGUCAAGCUAUCGUCCCUGCCAGGUGAAAGAUUUGGGAAUUUCUCAGCUCUAAAGCAUCUGCGUAUUUCUUAUUGUGGAAAACUCAAAUGGAAGGGACUUGUUUUACCAUCGACCCUCCAAAGCCUCUGCUUAAGUUAUUGUGGGGAUAUCUCUCCCUGGGUUCCCAGUUGCCUGGAGAACCUUGCCUCCUUGGUGCGCCUGCUGAUUAACUCUUGCCAACAUGUACAAUACAUUCCCAGUUCACUAUGGAGCAGCAAUCUCUCAUCACUCCAGGAUUUGCGUAUUUUCAAUUGUAGUGACCUUGUAUCAAUUGGUGGAGCAGAUGCAAUUGUGAAAAUAAACAAGGUGAAGAUAGAAAACUGUCCAAAGUUGCAGGAAAUAUAGCAACCAAUGAGCAGAGGUGGCCUGUAGAUUUCAUGAUAUGUAUGUGAUAUGAAAGUUAAAGGAUUCAGUCUCUGAGUCUUUAUGGUAUGUAUGUGAUAAAUCCAAAAAUUUCCCUUCCAGCUCUUACCAAGAUUUUCUUUUUCUACCUGACCUAGAAGAAACCAUUGUGUCCUGAACUAGUUUGCAUCCUAUAUGAGUAUAUAUCAUCAUCAGCUACCUGCACAAGCACAACUUUCUGUACAUACUGUUUCCAUUAAUUAGUUGCUUCCAAACCUUAGCCGGUUACAGUACAUCCUUAACCUGUAGUAAUUACAUAUGCUUUAGACAGUUUAAAAUUUAAUAAGCAAAAGAACUUGUAUCCUGACAUAGAUUAAAAUUUAAACAGCAAAUAAGACUUACACUCUACCCAACUGCUGCCAGAAUAUAUUGUGAAGUUUAAAACAUUCUUUUUUUUUCUAUUGAGUGCACUGUACUGAUUAAAGUUAUCUUUUUAAUAAUGGAGGAUGGAGCAACUGGCGAGAUGGAGCUAAUAGAUGCAUGACUGUUGGAGAGCUACCGGCACUUCUAUAGCAGAAUCUCGCCAUCCAUAUUUUCUUAUACUCUGUUGUCCUGUUUCCGCAUAAGAUGACUUCUUCUUAUCAAGAAAUUUACUGGGCAGGCAUAAUGCGUCUGAAAGGUAUUGCACUUGAUUAUGCGACAAGUGUGUUGGAAAUUCCUGUUUUUGUGCCAAAUAAGUGGGGAGAGAGAUACAUACCAUGAGAACCUCUCUGUUAAGAUGUGUGCAUGAUUUGAUUGUGCUCAAAAGGUUGUAUAAAUUACAAUUUCAUUUGUGAUGUUUUUGGAUGCGAUCUUGUUAAGCUCAUACUAGAACCUUCGAGUGACAAUAUAUGCUCUAUGUUUUUUUUUGGUAGUAAAAGCGUAUGAUCUGUGUCAUUUUGCUGUGCUCCUUUGCCUUUUUUUUUCUACACGUUAGUUAUUCACCUUUCAGUAUAUCAGUUUGACUAAUAAGUGAAUGGUCCCUAAAUUCUAUGGGAUGUACUUGGGUAAGGUGUUCUUGGGUGCAUUCUUAGCUUCCUUUGGCUGCCAAAGGAACAUAUAGCAAACUUGUCAAAAACACAUUUAAAUUCUAGGAGCAUAUAUACAUACGUGCA